AGAGUUUGAUCAUGGUUCAGGAUGAACGUUGGCGGCGUGCCUAAUACAUGCAAGUCGAGAGAAUGGGAUUAAGAGCUUGCUCUUAUGAAGUUAGCGGCGGACGGGUGAGUAACACGUGGGUAACCUGCCCAUAAGACUGGGAUAACUCCGGGAAACCGGGGCUAAUACCGGAUAACAUUUUGAACCGCAUGGUUCGAAAUUGAAAGGCGGCUUUGGCUGUCACUUAUGGAUGGACCCGCGUCGCAUUAGCUAGUUGGUGAGGUAACGGCUCACCAAGGCAACGAUGCGUAGCCGACCUGAGAGGGUGAUCGGCCACACUGGGACUGAGACACGGCCCAGACUCCUACGGGAGGCAGCAGUAGGGAAUCUUCCGCAAUGGACGAAAGUCUGACGGAGCAACGCCGCGUGAGUGAUGAAGGCUUUCGGGUCGUAAAACUCUGUUGUUAGGGAAGAACAAGUGCUAGUUGAAUAAGCUGGCACCUUGACGGUACCUAACCAGAAAGCCACGGCUAACUACGUGCCAGCAGCCGCGGUAAUACGUAGGUGGCGAGCGUUAUCCGGAAUUAUUGGGCGUAAAGCGCGCGCAGGUGGUUUCUUAAGUCUGAUGUGAAAGCCCACGGCUCAACCGUGGAGGGUCAUUGGAAACUGGGAGACUUGAGUGCAGAAGAGGAAAGUGGAAUUCCAUGUGUAGCGGUGAAAUGCGUAGAGAUAUGGAGGAACACCAGUGGCGAAGGCGACUUUCUGGUCUGUAACUGACACUGAGGCGCGAAAGCGUGGGGAGCAAACGGGAUUAGAUACCCUGGUAGU
rnacentral:rRNA from 1 species